rnacentral:rRNA from 1 species
CGAAAUGCGAUAAGUAAUGCGAAUUGCAGAAUUCAGUGAGUCAUCGAAUCUUUGAACGCACAUUGCG